GGCGGACGGGCAGUAUUUACUCCCUACCUGUUUCCCUAGUCAGUGAAACUAGAACAAAAUUUUGGGUCUGCUGCAGGUCCAAGGAGGAAUUCAUUCUCUUCCCAGAGGAGGAGACCACAGUGUGGCCUGGGCGUGAGAGAACCCCCUCCACCUUGAAGCACUUUCUGCAUUAUCUUCUUCAAGAUCCCAUUGCACCUUUCUGUGAGUGAGAAUUACUUCGAAGAAGGGAAGACCAGAAACACGUUUUCUUGCCAGUUAAACUUGGUUAGUAGAACUGUGUGGCAGUGUGUUGGCCACGAGUAACAAACUAGAAAAUUAAAUUAAAAGCCGGGACUGAGGCCUUGAAGAGACGGCCCUUAGGUAAAGAACACUUUCAUGGACCCACAUCCAGCCGCUCACAACCACUCGUAACUUCCGUUCCAGGGCAUCCUGCAGCCUAUUUUGACCCUCUCUGUCACCUGCCAGCAGAUGGUAAAAUACGUGCAUGCCAAGCACACGCAAAUACACAUAAAGGAAGAAAUCUUUUUUGUUUUUAAGUCAAUAAAUAAAAAAGGCAAGGCUGAGAGACGAUACGAAGAGGCAAAAAGGCAUCAAGGCAGAAGCGGGUCCAAAGGAGAAAAAGGAAGGGAAUUCAUCAGUGCAUUUCUGGGUUUUAAUAUUGUCCCAGCCUGCGGCCCUUGGGAAAGCGUAUAAUGUUCAUUGGCUCACAGUUAAAUGGCUUCCAGCCUGCCAGUCUCUGACCGCUCUUCUAACCUUAGGGACAUUUUUAUUUCUCUGGUAUUCAGGUCAGGAUUCUAAUGUCCUUUGGUUCUUGUAAAGAUGGCAGCGAUCGCAGGGACCCGUGGUCAGCGGCUACCAAAGGUACACGUUACACAGAGAAGUCCACAGAAUGAAUAUCCCCACGAAGCUCACAGGAGGCAAGCCUCCUUUACAUUUCAAUUUUUCCCCCUUAAUUAUGUGGAAGAUUUCCAGUCGCUGGCACGGGCUGCCUAGCUACCGAGGGCGAAUUUCAAUUGUGACCUUGAGGACGAGGAGCUCUCCUUAGCGCUGGCUUGUUGACGACCUAAAUAUUAAAUUAAAUCAGCAGGGGGGCACAAUUUCUUCACAGUUCCUUUUGACUAGAAGAAAACCACCUAAGCUUGUUUCUUUGUGUUAUUUUGAGAUUUUUUUCCCUUUCCCUUUCCUUUCUUUUUCUUUCUCUCUUUCUUUCUUUCUUUCUUUCUUUCUUUCUUUCUUUCUUUCUUUCUUUUUUUCCUUCUGAUAAUCCCUUCAGAAAAAAAUGCAAGCCAUCCUAAAAGGGGGCUGACAAAUUUCCUGGGAGUGGACCAGCUAGUUACAAAAUUUCUGCAAUGAGGAUGUUUUCCUUUAAAAAAGAAAAAAAAAAUCACGAGGUGGUGUGAAUGAAGGCACUAUGGUGGACACAUCACUAUUGUUCAUUUAGAAUUUCUUCCUAGAACUCCCAACCUGAUGGCAGCUCCCACUUUCUGGGCAUCUGGAAAACGCGUGGAAAGAUUCCAUCUACGGAUGCUUCCCGGGCUGCGUUUACAGCUGUCUCCUGCAUCUCUGAACGAAAUGGAAAUGACCUUUGAGAUGCUCUAAUCAUUCACCUGCCUGUUCAAGUAUGAAGUAGGAUUGAGGUGCAAGCAAGGACAGAGACUGUGUAAGCAUCUGUGGUCCUCCCCACACAGCUGGCAAAGCAGGCUUGAGUGGUAAGACAUAGUCUGCUGCCAAAACAACUCAUCCUCCUCCUUCGUUCCACUGUAUGAACUCCUGCUCCUCUCACAGUGGCAAAGAGGCCAGACAAGGGGUGUGUUGUGACUAGUCUGGUCUAGUCCAGGGCAAUUACAGAAUCUAGAAUCUCUUACAGAACUCGUCUGGCUUCUUUUGAAGUUUAGAAUUUACUUAUAUGUAAGAGGAAGUCAACUAGGGCGCAUUUCUGAGAGGUUUUGUUUUCUUAAUAAACAAACAAGGAGAUGAUAUCCAGCCUUCAUUGUUUCAUGGUGCUUUGAAGGGCAAAGUGGUACCAGGAACUGCAGUAGCCAUUUUGUCCAAGAAGUCUGCAGCAUUUUGGUAGAGCCUUUGGUCAUGAUCUUAUUUUGUUACUUCAAUUAGCAGUUGCCCAGGUCCAUGCUUCUUAGUUUAGGCCAGGAAAAAAAUCCCUCCUUUCUCAGGCUCCUGGUGGUCAGGUCACAGAACAAAAGCAGCAAAAGUUAGCUGGCUUGCCAUGUUUCCAGAAAUUUCAUUGGUAAUGGAAAACGUCAAGUACACUCAGGCUCCCCAUGACUUACACAGACCGUUACACAAACUAGUCCAGCAUAGAGUCAGUAACCUAUCUUCCUGGACUCACAGGAUAUCAGGGCCAGAAGACAGGAACAUGAUGGGUGGGUCUGUUACAGAGCAACAACCCUGGGCUCCUGAGGAGUGGUUUUAUAGCCAGCAACUGUCUGGAAGGGGGGCCUCAGAUGGAAAGUCCCCAGGCUCCAUCACAGUGGAGGGAAACAGAUGAAAAGGUGCCUGUGACAACCUGCUACGAGGCACUGGUGGUCAGCCAGUGUCCUACUUCCCCCAACCCCCAGAGCUGCCACUAUGACAAGUCAUACUGGGCCUACACUUUACCUUCCUGCCCUGUGCAGAGACAUGCAGGGAAGUCAGGUGAGAUGGAACAGCCCAACGGGAUAGAGGGAAAGUGUUUUCAACUGACAAGGUGGAGUGGGGGAAGGGGCUUGAGUUUAUCAAAGGACAAAACCUUUUGAGAGGAAUAAUGUAUUCUGUGUAUUUUUUUCAUGUUUUGAUUAAAUAUUUCUCAGUAUCUCAAGAGACUGAUUAUCAGGGCAUUUCCCUGCAUACAAAGGCAGCGUUGAAGGACACUCCCAGACACUGGCAAGGACAAAUGCCAAGGUCGUGCAGUCUUGAGAGGAGGGGUGUGCGCAAACACGUGCAUCCGGUGUGCUCUCAGUAGUGGCAGCUAGCUAUUACCGUCCCCAGUGUAGCAUAUCCACACACCGUUGCAGGGGCCCUUUGGAAGCCAUAUGUGUAAUCCCCAGCCACCAGCUGGCCUGUCUUGUGCUAGUUCUUAAAUACAUUAUGCAGAUUUUGCAAUAUAAAAUUCUAGUAGUAACAAACCUUAAAUCAUUUCACAGCCUUUAAAGCCCGGAAGGAAAAAGGCUCAAAAAGCUGUGAAAGCAAAUCACAGGUUCCACGGCUUGUUCAGUUGUCACCCUUAACCACACCAAGUGGGCGGUAUCACAGCCACUUGAGAUUUAAAUAUUUAUGUCAAUCAUCUUAAUGCGGAUGUCAUAGAAUUUAUGACAACUGGAUCUCAUGCUCUCGACCGGGAGAAAUCAAGAUGGCUAGAAAGCAAUCUAGUCUCUCUCACUAGAAAUAGGCCAGCUUCUUUCGAAGAUCAGAAUUCAAUUAUGCACAAGAGGAAGUUGGAUGGAAUGGACUAGAUAACAUUGAUCUACUUUACAAUUUAGUUCCUUCAUUUUCCUGGUGAAGUGAAUUUACCUAAAUGACCCACCCCAAGGGCUGUGUGAAGGUUCCAAACCUGUCACCCAUUUCCCCAUACUCAGUCCUAUGCCACAGAGAGCCCCGGGUGCCUGUGUAAGGCUCCAAAUGAGUCUUAACCACCAGGAAACCCCCCACGUGAGACAUGAGAAUGGAGUUCGAUGUAAACACAAGAGGUUUAUUUUUCCAGCACGUCGGGGUCAACCCUCAAUCAGCCCCUCAUGACGAGUGACUAGAAGGUGACCCCAAAUGACUAUAACAAGCAAUUUUUAUACUUUUUAGGGGUACAGGUUACAUCAGCAAGGUUACAGUUUAAACUUAUUGGCUAAGCAUAUUGACCUUUGAAUCUAUUGGCUAGCAAGCAUAUGACAUGCAUUCGAACUCUGUCUGGGACCAGAGGGUCAGGUGACUAUCUGCAGACGUUCUGCGGUUUUUCAAGAAUGUCUCUGCUCCUCCCAAAAAAUGUGGGUGGAGAAUGGAACUUGGCCUAGCCUUGACCCGAGGCGGGAAGCUGGUACUUGGCCUAAUCUUGACCUCAGGUGUUGGGUGUAAGGCUGGCGAAAGCCCCCAGGGUCCUUCACAGGAACCCCAUACCUACCUACUUUCUACCAGGCCAAACUUCUUAAUGGCAAUUACACUUCAGUAAGAACUAGGGUCCUUCACCUGCAGACAUGCCAACUGCAAGACCAAGUGUGGAAACAAAGUUUUUAAGAAUGUAGGUUCUGAAAAUGUAAAAACAAAGUUUUAGUAGUCAGAAUGACUAAGCCUCACUGACCAAGGCCAAGCUAAUUAAGACAAAACAAAAAUAACUGCUCUCCCUACCCCUCCCUCUGGUAAAGUCCAAAAACAAUGACAAGAUGUCAACCUGACCCUGCCCGACCACCCAGUUCCCCUUCUCCCCGCAAGGAACUUUCCAACCUAGCCCUUUUCCAGAGAUUUUCCAAGACCAGGUGCAGGGUUGGAUGAGGAAAGUGACUAACUAAGAACAGCCCCUUGAGCAGGCCAGCCAAUACCUGACCAGAUCCUUUGUCCUGUGUUCCACCAAUAAGAAUAGGCCAGCUAACCCUGUUGCUGAAGUCUGCCCUCUGUAAAGAAUAAAAGAUGUGUGCUUUUUGAGUUCGGGGUUGCCUCUCCCUGAGAGGCUGAGCGACCCCAUUCGUGUUGGAUCAAUAAACCUCUUGCCGUUGCAUCGGUCCAAUCAUCAGUUUGUGCUCUGUGGGGUCGUGCACCUAGGCUAAGACCUUGGAGGUCUAACACAAGCUCUUCUGUGGCCAUUCUUAGUAUAACUUCUAGCCUCCGUUAAAAGAGGAUCAUGAACAAUGCUCAUAAAGUCUGAUUUUAACCUUUGAACUUUAGAAUUUCCUAGGGAGAAGUAACACGUAAAACUCCCAAAGAAGGAAGAGAUGAGGGAAUACCAGGAGGGAGAGGAAGGAAAGGUGGGCCAUGAGCCCGGGAGUAGAGUAUUUAGUGGAAAUCCCAGUCCUCAGGAUUGCUAGGUCCCUGAGAGCCCUGGCUUUAGUGCUCUCCUAAGAACACUAGCUACUAACCUGGCACCCCACAGCCCAGCUUGGUGUGCUAACUCAAACAACAUCUUAUUGUCUUACAGCUAGACUCAUACUGAGUGCUAUUUCUGGAGCACACAAGCUGCAUCGGAAAGAGCUGUCAUCGUUAAACUGCAAGGUCUAGGUAAACAAAUACCUAUAUUCAGGAGAUGAUAUUCCUAGAGAAUUUGCUGCCAUAAAAGGUUUCAGUGACUCACUAAUUAGACAGAGAAGCCAGAUUGCCUAGGGAGGCAAUCUGAAUAAGGAAGGAAACCAUGGAGAGAAACUAGGGAAAGUGGCACCAAAGGAAGCUUGUGGUGGCCUGGGUCAGACCUCCUGGAUUGGAAGUCACACAGUGCCCAGACACUGUACUUAGCACCUAGGACCUGUCAGAGUCAGAACAAGGUCCUGGGACCUUUUACUUCCCUGUUUUGUUUCUUGAAUGCUCAGCCUGACUCGCACUGGAAUCGUCUCCAGUGCUUAAGGCUUAACACAGUAACUCAUUGUUCACACUCCUAACUUUUAGAAAAAUAAUAGAGACACAGAAAAAUUCAGCACACAUUCUGUGUGACCUUGCCCCAGGUCACACUCCAGCAAGUCACUGAGAUAGACUGUAGUACAGCUGCCUGUGCCUGGCAGAGUGGGCUCCAUGGCUAUAACAAAGCAGAGAAGGGGAGUGGAGAGACACAGGGUGUGGUGGUUUGAAUACACUUGGCCCAGAGAGUGGCACUCUUUGGAGAUAUGGCCUUCAUGGAGUAGGUGCUACCUCAUGUGUGGAGGAAGUGUGUCACUGUGGGGCUGGGCUUUAACUCUUGUCCUACUUGCCUGGAAGCCAAUCUUCUCCUAGUAUCCAUCAGAUGAAGAUGUAGAACUCUUAGCUCCUCCUGCUCCAUGCCUGCCUAGAUGCUGCCAUGCUCCUGCCUUAAUGAUAAUGGACUGGACCUCUUAACCUGUAAGCCAGCUCCAAUUAAAUGUUGUAUUAAGAGUUGCCUUGAUCAUGGUGCCUGUUCAUAGCAGUAAAACCCUGAAGAAAAAAAAAUGGGCAUGCCCCAUUUUUUUUUACAUUUAUUUAAUUAUUUAUCUAACUAUUUAGUGUGUGAAGAAAGGAAAUUCUCCAUGUGGAGGGUAGAAGGCUAGAGGACAACUUGCAGGACUCAGUUACCUAUUCCCAUCUUAUGGAGCUUGGUGAUAGAAUCAUGUGGUCAAGCUUGGUCACAGGCCAUUUACCUGCUAAGUCAUCAGCUCGCUUUCAUUUUAGAUAAAUAAGUCACAGACGGCUUUUCUGGAAAAGUGUCACAUGUACAUGACUCUUCAUAAGCUUGAGAAUGCGAAGGACGCUGGCAUAGAGGGCAAGGACUCACCCUUUCUCAUCUUUGGGAUUAAAUGAAAAAGAAACAGGAAGUCUUGCUUGGCAAGUGAUGUUAAAUUCCUUUAAUUAUGAGGAAGAUGCAGUUGCCUGGAGCAGUAGCCACAAUCUCCCUGCCAAGAAUUAAUUAGUUAUGUGGUUUCUCAGGAAUUUCACUGUACUGUGGUGACAAUAAAUUGAAUUUUGUAGGUGACAUAAUUCAUGCCCAUUCCAAAUAUGAGAUUAAGUUCUGCCUUUUACGAAGGUGUUCAGACUUUAUCACACUAUAAGUGUUUCUAGCCUCAUAUUAAUCCUGCUUGGGUAUUUUGUUUUGUUUUGCUUUUGUUUUUGUUUGUGUUUUUAAGAAUUGCUAGAAUUGCUAUUAACCAUCACAUCUGCAGGGCCCCAGAAAGGACCACAGACGUAACCUGCCCCAAAGACCAUGUGACUGUUUCCCAUCCCUUCAGCUUUGCUUCCUGCAUCUUGAAUCUCUUGUUUCUCACAUUGUUAACUGUGAUCUCUAUCCUGUGUUAUCCUUUAAUAAAGAAAUGCCCAGACAGAACUACUCAGUCUCUCUCUGCUAUUGGAAGAAUUGUAAAUCCAGAUGGAGCUCAUGAUUUGUGAGUUUUCCUAGCCAUGCAGAAGUAGAGCUGUGGAAGUUGGCGUAAGGGGAUCCUUCCCCCUGAAAUGUCAUAGAUUUUCAUUAUGUGAUCAAUAGAAAUAGCACGAUUGCACAGAAGCUCGGCCAUGGUAUUUAAAUUCUUCCUCUCCACCUUAAUGAGGGCAUCUAUCAGAGCAGUGGAGUGAAAUAGUGACAUUUAAGACUCAGAUACUGUGAUUAGACAUAAGGCUAUUCAGGAACUGGGCUGUAGGCUGGCAGCCAUCUUCACACAUUCUAAAUGGCCAUCAUAGCACAGUGUUCUGUGUUCUUGGACAAAAGUCUUGGGUCUUAGAAUGUCUCCUCUGCUGAUAAAGGUUAACCAGCACAACUGGAACAAUUUGGAGCAGGGUGUGGUAACCCACACCUUUAAUCCCAGCACUGGGGCUGCAGAGGCAGCAGAUCACUGUGAGUUCAAAGCCAGCCUGAUCUAUAUAAUGCGUUCCAGGUCAGCCAGUGCUAUAUAUGAGACUCUGUCCCAAACACACACACACACACACACACACACACACACACACACACACACACUCCCCUCCCAUACACACACACAAAGUUGCAGUUAAGAGGAACAGGCAACUUGUUUUUUAGACUGCAUUGUGAGAUUCUCCCAGCCCCAGUUAAUAUUACUAUUAAAGAGCCGGAGAAGAGCAGCUACUGAAUGUCUAGCCCUGAACAGAGAAGUGGAUGAGAUCAGGGGCUAUGGAGAAAAUAAAGAAACCAAGACACAGUAAGGAGUUGACAGGAGCUAACAAGAAGCCAACUCUUACACAGAUAAUGCUUGGUGUCCUUGGUGGGGGCAGGGGGAGCUGUCUCUCGAACUCUCUAAAGAUACUUAGAGGUGAAUAUAAAUAAUCAUUAUAUAUUAUUAUCAUAUGUAUGAUUUAUAAAGUACAGGUUGCAGUCCAGCUAAUCCAACAAUGGCUGACUAUGAAUGGAAAGACCAAGAAUCCAGUAGUUGCUCAGUCCCACAAGACUGGAUGUCUCAGCUGGUCUUCAGUAUAUGCUAGAAUCCCAAAGAAGUGGGCUGUAAUGACUUGAAGGAAUUGGAUGUGCUAGCGAGACGAGGGCAAGCAGGCACAGGACAAAAGCUUCCACCUUCCAUGUCCUAAUAUAGGCCUCCACAAAGGUGUGGCCCAGAUUAAAGGUAUAGCUCCCGCUUCAAGAUCUGGAACAAAAGUGUGAAUCUUCCAGCCUCAAAGGUCCGGGCUUGAAGUGGAUCCACCCACUUCAAACCAAGCCAAAAACCCUUCACAGGGGUGCCCUCCAUUUCUGGGUUUUUGUUCCAGAUGCAGUCAGGUUGACAAGCAAGAAUAGCCAUCACAAGUCAACCCCUUGUCAACUUGACACACAAUCAUAUCAUGUCAUGAUGAUUUUCCAAAUGAAAACAAUAGCCAGGUCGUAAUAAUGCCUAAACAUAAUACGACUUGCCUAACAUGAUAUGACUAUCCCUUGUAUAACUUUCUAUUGAUGUUUUAUUCCUGUGAAGAGACACCAUGACCACAGCAAUUCUUAUAAAGGAAAACAUGGGGCUUGCUUACAUUCAAAGGUUUAGUCCAUUGUCAUCAGGGCAGGGAGCAUGGCAGCAUGUAGGCAGGAGCUAGAGAAGUAGGUGAGAGUUCUACAUUCAGAUCUGUGGGCAUCAGGAAGAGGGAGAGAGAGAGAGAGAGACCUGGGGUCUGGGUUGGGCAUUUGAAAUUCCAAACCCAACCCCUAGAGACACAUCCUCCAAGGACACACCUACGCCAACACCUACGUCCUAACCCCUAUCAAGUGGUGCCACUCCCUAAUGAAACAAGCAUUUAAAUCUGAGACUGUGGGAGCCAUUCCUAUUCAAACUACCACAAUAGGUAUGAGAGUUGUGAUGUUAGAAAAUAUCUAUGGCUUUGAAACGGGUUUCUAAUACCCUGGAUAUUAUUUAUUUUAGCUGUUUCCUUAAAAUCCUUUCCAUGGAGAGAUCUCAAUGGCUUCCCUUGUACCAUCUCUCAGUGACUGAAGAUCAGAGAGGGACAGACAGCUCCUAGUAGGGUGAGGUCAGCCUACCCAGGCAUCUGGGAAUACUCAUUGUGCGCUCCCAAGAAGGUUGCAAAAUGCAUCUUUUAUCCGUGUUGUAUUUGUGGACUUUAAAGUUAGCCUUAGAGAAUAGGAAAGGGACCAGCCUCUACCUCCAGAUUCCCUUUUCUAUGUCGUCCUUCCCCACUCACCCCAGGUGUCUAAAUUCUUCAUGUUCUCUGUUCAAAGCAAAACUCCCAAUAGGAGGUGAUUUUGAAAGAGUCAUUCACAACACAAUUCGGCAUUAUUUUCUCCUUCCUAUCAAUAUUUACACCGCAUAUGGCCAAUGUUUCCAAUAAGGUAACCACUCCAAAUUCCUUAUUCUAUUAUCUGUGAAAGGCUGUAGAGGAUCACUUGGCUUUGUGUAUUAUGGGGGGGGGGGGGAUUCUCUUUGGAAGACCCUUCUGUUAGGGUAAUUCUUGUUAUAAAAACAAAGAUACCUAAUAGUAGUUUAUCCAAUAAUAAUGAGUUGCUUAUCAGCGGCAUGGCCGCCUAGUCGUUUAGGACAUGGGUCAGCAUUUCCACAGUGUCUGGAUGCUGAGUACUUCCCUGAUUAGCUCUUCUUCCCAUCAUGGGUACCCAAAAGAUUGUGUAUAUUCAAACAUCACAUUUGCCUAUCACAGUGGUCACAGGAGGAAAGAUUAGGGAGCCUUUACGUGGGCAGACAUUUUCUCAGAGAUGCCGUGGAACUCCACUGACAUCACAUUUGGCCACCUCUAGUAGGGAGUUAGCAGAGAGUAGUGACGAUCCAGUGUCAAGGUGAACCACACUGAGAUCCUGUAGGGUGUAAUUAUUCAAAAACAAUCCACGCUAAAGCCAGCCGAGUCUCCCCUCCCCCAUUGGGAGCCUCAAGCCCUGGUCUUCUCUGCUGCCUAACCACUCAUAUUUCCCACACCAUCCUUCCUUUGUGGCUAUCCUGCCGAGACUGGCAGCAAACGGCUCUAAACCCCUAGCCCCGUUAAAUUAAGACUCCAGAGGCUUAUAAUUUAUCAGCCAAGUUUAUAACAGUAAAUCUUCAACCCCCCAAAUGCCUACACAAAGAACUCAAAACUCAAUUGAUAUAAAUAAAAGCUGCACACACCUAGAUGGCACAAAUGCACCCUACAUUACUACCCUUAUUGUCCUUCUAUGAUAUCCAUCACUACCUGUGACUCUUUCAAGCCGCGUGGAUCAGAUUCAUCUUCUUCCUCCAACCCCCCCUCCCACUUCCCCUCUCUGAAACUUUCAGCCCCGCCUUCUUUUCCACUGCCCAAUCACAGGCUCCGGUUUCAUCUGACUAAUUAAGAUUUCACCUGAUUGCACGUGAAUACGGGCACUCUUAAGGAAGCAGAACGUAUGAACAGCAAUCUACAACAAGAUCCAAACAAAGUCGACUGUUUUAUCAUUGGGGGCACAAGGAAACGUGGUGCCGAAGUGGUCAGUAGCAUCUGCCUCAACCUGAGAACCGCAUCACCCAGGAGCUACUGUGAGCCAAGCUCCAAAGGAAGAUGGUGCUAUCCCUAAUCCCCUCUGGCUGGACAAGGGAGGAAACGUUUCAAGGACGGGUGAGGUUCAAAAGGUGGUUGCGGUAGCACAGCGUCCAGCGUCCUGUUCUCUAGCCUAUCUCUAUAUGAGUUUAACCUGUUGUGUCUCUCCUUUAAUCAACAAACUUACUAGAAAAUAUAUUAGUUUUUUUUUUCCUUUUGGCAGGCAGCGGGUCUAGCUACUCCUCAAGAAGAAAUGGCCCAAAGAUGAUUGUAUUCAGAUUUAUUUAUUAAUUCAAAACUUUCACUUAUCAAAUGCUAGCAUGGAGAGAAAACACACAACCUGACAGGCGGCUUCUUUUAUGUGUGCAUGCUAAUGUUUUAAACAUCACGUUGAGAUUUGAUUUGUAAUUUUAAAAUUGCUAUUUUCCUGGGCUGGCCUUGUAUUAUCGAAAUUCUUACACAGACUUCAUCAGGGGAAAUCUCCUCAUAAACUGGGACAGGGAAAGUGUAAAUGUUUAAAGGACACACUUUUUUAUCAAAGUAAAAGUAAUUUUACUGAUUCUCAUGAAUGAGAGGACCCCUAGUAAAUACCUGCUGUGUUCAACAGAAGAACUCUCCUUUGAAAAGUCUCACCUUGAAGUAUUACUUUAAAGUUGUGAUUUACAUGCCAUGAUUAUACAUAUUUAUUAUGCAUGUUGUGAUAUUUUAAUAUACUAUGUACUU